CGAAAAUGAACUUUGUUUCUUGGAGUGGGCUUUUGCGAGUGCGAAAUAGGUGAUUCGAGUUUUAGAAGUAAGAAUAACGAGGCGCUUCGGCUAUGUAAGGAGCGGAAGAGAUUUAUCAAACAAGCAAUCGAUUCAAGGAUAUUAGAAUGGAUAUACCUCCUCCUACAAAGAUUCUAGAAAUUAGUCCAAUGGAAGAAGAUGUUAUAAUGGGUGAAGAAAGAAGUUGACCCAAUUCCAUGGCAAUUAGAGAGUCAUGGCUAUUGGAUCGGACUUCCAAGGCUCCCUAC